rnacentral:rRNA from 1 species
AACGAACGCUGGCGGCAGGCCUAACACAUGCAAGUCGAGCGAGGACUUCGGUCCUAGCGGCGGACGGGUGAGUAACGCGUGGGAACGUGCCCUUUGCUUCGGAAUAGCUCUGGGAAACUGGGAGUAAUACCGGAUGAGCCCUUUGGGGGAAAGAUUUAUCGGCGAAGGAUCGGCCCGCGUUGGAUUAGGUAGUUGGUGGGGUAAUGGCCUACCAAGCCGACGAUCCAUAGCUGGUUUGAGAGGAUGAUCAGCCACACUGGGACUGAGACACGGCCCAGACUCCUACGGGAGGCAGCAGUGGGGAAUCUUAGACAAUGGGGGAAACCCUGAUCUAGCCAUGCCGCGUGAGCGAUGAAGGCCUUCGGAUCGUAAAACUCUGUUAUUAGGGAAGAACAAAUGUGUAAGUAACUAUGCACGUCUUGACGGUACCUAAUCAGAAAGCCACGGCUAACUACGUG